rnacentral:rRNA from 1 species
AGUGAACGCUGGCGGUAGGCCUAACACAUGCAAGUCGAACGGCAGCACAGUAAGAGCUUGCUCUUACGGGUGGCGAGUGGCGGACGGGUGAGGAAUACAUCGGAAUCUACUUUUUCGUGGGGGAUAACGUAGGGAAACUUACGCUAAUACCGCAUACGACCUACGGGUGAAAGCAGGGGAUCUUCGGACCUUGCGCGAUUGAAUGAGCCGAUGUCGGAUUAGCUAGUUGGCGGGGUAAAGGCCCACCAAGGCGACGAUCCGUAGCUGGUCUGAGAGGAUGAUCAGCCACACUGGAGCUGAGACACGGUCCAGACUCCUACGGGAGGUAGCAGUGGGGAAUAUUGGACAAUGGGCGCAAGCCUGAUCCAGCCAUACCGCGUGGGUGAAGAAGGCCUUCGGGUUGUAAAGCCCUUUUGUUGGGAAAGAAAAGCAGCAGGUUAAUACCCCGCUGCUCUGACGGUACCCAAAGAAUAAGCACCGGCUAACUUCGUG